AGCCCGCGGUAAUUCCAGCUCCAAUAGCGUAUAUUAAAGUUGUUGCAGUUAAAAAGCUCGUAGUUGAAUUUCGGGGUUAGUAAGUUGGUCAUGCCUCCGGUAUGCACUGGCUUUACUGAUUCCUCCUUCUUGAUGAACUGUAAUGUCAUUAAUUUGGUGUUGCAGGGAAUCAGGACUGUUACUUUGAAAAAAUUAGAGUGUUUAAAGCAGGCAUAAGCUUGAAUACAUUAGCUUGGAAUAAUGAAAUAGGACGUUUGAUCCUAUUUUGUUGGUUUCUAGGAUUGACGUAAUGAUUAAUAGGGAUAGUUGGGGGCAUUAGUAUUCAAUUGUCAGAGGUGAAAUUCUUGGAUUUAUUGAAGACUAACUACUGCGAAAGCAUUUGCCAAGGAUGUUUUCAUUAAUCAAGAACGAAAGUUAGGGGAUCGAAACCAUCAAAUACCGCGUAGUCUUAACCAUAAACUAUGCCACUAGGGAUCGGAGGAUGUUAUUUUUAAUGACUCA
rnacentral:rRNA from 1 species